AUUGAACGCUGGCGGCAGGCUUAACACAUGCAAGUCGAGCGGGGGAAGGUAGCUUGCUACCGGACCUAGCGGCGGACGGGUGAGUAAUGCUUAGGAAUCUGCCUAUUAGUGGGGGACAACAUCUCGAAAGGGAUGCUAAUACCGCAUACGUCCUACGGGAGAAAGCAGGGGAUCGUCGGACCUUGCGCUAAUAGAUGAGCCUAAGUCGGAUUAGCUAGUUGGUGGGGUAAAGGCCUACCAAGGCGACGAUCUGUAGCGGGUCUGAGAGGAUGAUCCGCCACACUGGGACUGAGACACGGCCCAGACUCCUACGGGAGGCAGCAGUGGGGAAUAUUGGACAAUGGGGGGAACCCUGAUCCAGCCAUGCCGCGUGUGUGAAGAAGGCCUUAUGGUUGUAAAGCACUUUAAGCGAGGAGGAGGCUACUUUAGUUAAUACCUAGAGAUAGUGGACGUUACUCGCAGGAUAAGCACCGGCUAACCCUGUGCCAGCAGCCGCCGUAA
rnacentral:rRNA from 1 species